AGAUCCAUAGGAGAAUAAUUGAUUAGAGCCGGACCAUACAGAUUUACAGUACCUUCAAAACACUGUUUCUCUUGGGUAUUAAGAUGAAAUCAGGUAAUCAUGGAUUAACUGUUUCUGCUAUCGCCAGCUUCAUUAACGGAUACAUGCAGGGAUUAUCUGAUUAUCCGGGGAAUGUCCAACUUGACUUCAGUUGCCGUUGGUCACAAGUAAAAAUUGACAUGUCCAAUCAUUAAUCCAUCCAUUAUAUUAUUGAUUACAAAGAGCUGUCAUUUUUCAAACUUCAAAUCUAUAUGGUUUUGGACUCAAUCAUGUCGGGUGCUAACUCAAGAUCGUUGAGAUCCACACGGCUUGCAGGAUAACGAGAAGAGAACAAGUCAUGGAAAUAUCGACACGUGACAGGGAUGUAUCGAUAUCGGACCUCUUCUCGAGGACCUCCCAUGUUUUCAUGAUUGAUGACGCGAUUAGCAUUAACUAAUCCUAUCUUUUAUUCCUUAUUGCAAGUUGGUUUUUCUUAUUAUGAGUGAUCAAUGCAAGCUAGUGCUGGAAAGAGGAGAAGAACAAGCAAUUAAAGCUCAGAAGCAAGUGGCAAGUGCUGAUGAUUGACAAAAAUAGACUAAACACACCCAUCUAUCAGGAUCGUAUCUUCGUAGCUAGUACAUGUACAGUACAGGCACUCCCCGUAAUUUGGAGAAGAGUACCGAGAUAAGUAUGUAUGUACAUGACACAAAGUGAGUUGGAUCAUGCAUAUGGGUCCCAGAUGUCUACAUCCUG